rnacentral:lncRNA from 1 species
UUGUUGUCGUGGUUGUUAUUGUUGUUGUGGCUGUUAUUGUUGUGGUUGUUGUUGUUGUUGUUGUUGUUGUUGUUGUUGUUGUUGUUGUUGUUGUUGUUGUCGCUGUCGUUGCUAUUGCUGUUCUCGCUGUUUUUUUUGUUGCUGUUGUCAAUGUUGCCGUAAUUCUCAUCAUUGUCACUAUUGUCGUUGUUGUCCUUGUCAUCGUAGUCGUCGUCGUUGUAGUUGUUGUUGUUGCUGCUUUUAUUGUUGUUGUCAUCGUCGUCAUCAUCAUAGUCGUCGUUGUUUUUGUUAUUGUUGUUGUCGUUGAGGCCGUUGUAUUCU